rnacentral:rRNA from 1 species
ACGGGAUGCCUUAGUACGGCGAGUGAAGCGGCAAAAGCUCAAAUUUGAAAUCUGGUACCUUCGGUGCCCGAGUUGUAAUUUGGAGAGGGCAACUUUGGGGCCGUUCCUUGUCUAUGUUCCUUGGAACAGGACGUCAUAGAGGGUGAGAAUCCCGUGUGGCGAGGAGUGCGGUUCUUUGUAAAGUGCCUUCGAAGAGUCGAGUUGUUUGGGAAUGCAGCUCUAAGUGGGUGGUAAAUUCCAUCUAAAGCUAAAUAUUGGCGAGAGACCGAUAGCGAACAAGUACAGUGAUGGAAAGAUGAAAAGAACUUUGAAAAGAGAGUGAAAAAGUACGUGAAAUUGUUGAAAGGGAAGGGCAUUUGAUCAGACAUGGUGUUUUGUGCCCUCUGCUCCUUGUGGGUAGGGGAAUCUCGCAUUUCACUGGGCCAGCAUCAGUUUUGGUGGCAGGAUAAAUCCAUAGGAAUGUAGCUUGCCUCGGUAAGUAUUAUAGCCUGUGGGAAUACUGCCAGCUGGGACUGAGGACUGCGACGUAAGUCAAGGAUGCUGGCAUAAUGGUUAUAUGCCGCCCGUCUUAACCACCGGACCAAAAGGAG